UGCUGAAUAAGCGGGAGAAGCAAUGAAAACGAAGCAAUAAAUUUCCAAACUGGUGCCGUCAUGUCUGGCAUGGUUUGUGCGACUCGAUUCGGUGCGAUCCGAAUCCAAAUACGAAUCCGAUAUUGAGUGGGUUAGACGUUAGAGAGGUGAGGAGCACAAUCCGGAGAAUGGAGCCGAAACUGAAGCCGAAGCCGAAACCGAUCGACCAGCUUGUUUCUGUUCUGAUCGUUGUGUCGUUGGCGUUUUCUUCUCGUCGUUCGUCGUCGUCGUCGUCGUUAUUGUUGUUGUUGUUGUGCUGCUGUUACUUUAGCCGAGGCAUGGCGUUUGAUAUAAUCAACAAAAGCCAGGCGUUUUUUUUUGCUGUUGUUACCUUUUCUUCGAAAUCUUUCUGAUUCCUCAUUGAUAUUGGAAAUAUUUCUUUUUUUAUUCAUUCGUUUACAAAUAAAAAGAACACAAUUUUUUUUGGUGUGUAUGUAUUCGAUAUCCUAAAAGAUUCAAAGCACACACACAAUCAAACAUAUAAAAUGACGAUCAACACAAUUAAAUUGAUAUAAACUGGUUUCAUUUGCUUUGAAAUAAAGCGGCGGAUUUGCGCUAGCAUUUCAUUACUGGUUUUUAAUAUCACGUUAUUCGUCAAUUGAAUUGGGUUUAAGUUUUUUUUAAUUUUUGCUUCUUUUGUGUAAAAAGAGAUCGAGAGAAUUAUACAACAAGCGAGGGGGAUGCUGUAGCUGAGCGAGGCUGUGCCUGUGAUGCUCUUAAAUGAUCUGCGCGAUUUGCGAAGCGAUGGAUGUCGACGGAGGCUGCGGAGCGCAGAAACGCGGCAACAAACGGCGGCGUUAUGAAUGAGGUGCAUGCGGCUGGAAAAUAAAUAUAAGUCAAUUGACGACAGAGGCGAAUCUUCAUGCGGUAGGUGACAAUUCGCUUCAAUUGGCCUCAUUCAUAAACCAGUUGAAUAUACAUCUUUAUACCUACCUACAAAACACAUAUCUAGAUACAUAGAUACAAACUAUACUUUAGGUAGAAAUAAAUGAGUAUUUAUUUAUA